rnacentral:lncRNA from 1 species
UCAAUAAUUAAAGAUGUUAUUGGUUACCACACACUAAUUAUAAACUUUGUCAAUUGUAUUUGUUGAGGCCCAAUUUUGGCCCGAGUACAAACCCCAAUUAAACCAAAUCAACCCACCGCAAAAAUAAAGAAAUUAAAACAACCCAAAACUCAAUUACAAAAUCAGACCCCAGCCCAAAUAAAUUACAUAAGCCCAAUUUAAGCCCAAACUAGCCCUAGCCUCCAAACAGAAAACAAAAAUGAAGAAUCAGAUUUUUCAAAUCCUAGGUGCGCCGCUCCUAGGGCAUUCGACCAACUGCUCUCUGUCCCAUCGCCCAUACCAUCUGCUGUGCCACCGCUCAAGUUGCCCCUGCAAGAAUUAACGAGAAAUGACAAGUAGUUGAACAGAUAAACUUUGUAAACGGCUAUAUAAAGCCUUUUUAUCCUUGUAGAUAUUUUUAGAGACAUUGAAUAUAAAAAGAAAUCAGUGAGUCAAAGCAAACAAUAGCAAAUCAAGAGAAAAACACCAAAUCGGAAGAAAUCGAAACACCAAGAAUCGAAAUCUAAUAAAAAAACCAAAGGUGAUUUUGUCUUAUACAUUUUUUUGAUUUAUUUCUUUUUCUUUUCUAUUUUUCGAAUCUAUUUAUUCACAUAUGUACAUAUAUUAAAAGCACAUAAAAAAUAUAAAAAAAGAAAAAAAUACCUUUUUGAAAUUUUCAACAACCGUGCGCGGUGGCCGGCGGCAGACGGAGCUGGAGUUUGGCCGGAGGGAGAAGACCUUGAGAGAGAAUAGAGAGCUUUUGGAAUUUUUUUUG